rnacentral:rRNA from 1 species
GACGGAGGGUGCUAGCGUUGUUCGGAAUGACUGGGCGUAAAGGGCGCGUAGGCGGCCGCUUGCGUCGGAUGUGAAAGCCCGGGGCUCAACCCCGGAACGGCAUCCGAUACGGGGCGGCUCGAGACCGAGAGAGGUGAGUGGAAUACCCAGUGUAGAGGUGAAAUUCGUAGAUAUUGGGUGGAACACCGGUGGCGAAAGCGGCAUCCUGGACCAUUACUGACACUGAAAAGCGAAAGCCAGGGGAGCAAACGGG